rnacentral:pre_miRNA from 1 species
UUCAAUUUUUAACUCUUCGUUUUAUUUAAAUUUUUUUACGAUUGAUAUUUUUGUUUUUAUUAGAUGAUAAAUCAUGAAUAAUACUUUAUGUGUGACUAUUUUUUUCUAAUUUUUUCAAAAAAUUUUAAAUAAGACGAUGGUCAAACGUUGGACACGGAAACC